AAUCAUCGAAUCUUUGAACGCACAUUGCGCCCCCUGGUAUUCCGGGGGGCAUGCCUGUUCGAGCGUCAUUUCACCACUCAAGCCUCGCUUGGUAUUGGGCAACGCGGUCCGCCGCGUGCCUCAAAUCGACCGGCUGGGUCUUCUGUCCCCUAAGCGUUGUGGAAACUAUUCGCUAAAGGGUGCUCGGGAGGCUACGCCGUAAAACAAACCCAUUUCUAAGGUUGACCUCGGAUCAGGUAGGGAUACCCGCUGAACUUAAGCAUAUCAAUAAGCGGAGGAAAAGAAACCAACAGGGAUUGCUCUAGUAACGGCGAGUGAAGCAGCAAUAGCUCAAAUUUGAAAUCUGGCGUCUUCGACGUCCGAGUUGUAAUUUGUAGAGGAUGCUUCUGAGUAACCACCGACCUAAGUUCCUUGGAACAGGACGUCAUAGAGGGUGAGAAUCCCGUAUGCGGUCGGAAAGGUGCUCUAUACGUAGCUCCUUCGACGAGUCGAGUUGUUUGGGAAUGCAGCUCUAAAUGGGAGGUAAAUUUCUUCUAAAGCUAAAUAUUGGCCAGAGACCGAUAGCGCACA
rnacentral:rRNA from 1 species